UCCUACGGGAGGCAGCAGUGGGGAAUAUUGCACAAUGGGGGAAACCCUGAUGCAGCGACGCCGCGUGAGUGAAGAAGUAUUUCUGUACGUAAAGCUCUAUCAACAGGGAAGAAGAAAGACGGUACCUGACUAAGAAGCCCCGGCUAACUACGUGCCAGCAGCCGCGGUAAUACGUAGGGGGCAAGCGUUAUCCGGAUUUACUGGGUGUAAAGGGAGCGUAGACGGCUGUGCAAGUCUGAAGUGAAAGCCCAGGGCUCA
rnacentral:rRNA from 1 species